rnacentral:rRNA from 1 species
AACGAACGCUGGCGGCAUGCCUAAUACAUGCAAGUCGAACGAGAUCUUCGGAUCUAGUGGCGCACGGGUGCGUAACGCGUGGGAAUCUGCCCUUGGGUUCGGAAUAACUUCUGGAAACGGAAGCUAAUACCGGAUGAUGACGUAAGUCCAAAGAUUUAUCGCCCAAGGAUGAGCCCGCGUAGGAUUAGCUAGUUGGUGGGGUAAAGGCCCACCAAGGCGACGAUCCUUAGCUGGUCUGAGAGGAUGAUCAGCCACACUGGGACUGAGACACGGCCCAGACUCCUACGGGAGGCAGCAGUAGGGAAUAUUGGAAAAUGGGGGAAACCCUGAUCCAGCAAGGACGCGUGAGUGAUGAAGGCCUUAGGGUUGUAAAGCUCUUUUACCCGGGAUGAUAAUGACAGUACCGGGAGAAUAAGCUCCGGCUAACUCCGUG